rnacentral:rRNA from 1 species
AGAGCGAACGUUAGCGGCGGGCCUAACACAUGCAAGUCGAACGAGAAUGAGGGGGCAACUCCUCUAGUAAAGUGGCGGACGGGUGCGUAACACGUGGGUAAUCUACCUUCCGGCGGGGGACAACAGUCCGAAAGGAUUGCUAAUACCGCGUACGUCAGCGAGACCUACGGGUCUUGUUGGGAAAGAUGGCCUCUCCUUGGAAGCUGUCACCGGAAGAUGAGCCCGCGGCCCAUCAGCUAGUUGGUGAGGUAAUGGCUCACCAAGGCUUAGACGGGUAGCUGGUCUGAGAGGAUGAUCAGCCACACUGGGACUGGCGAAC